CAAAAAAAAAGGAACCCUGCAAUGGCUAAUAUAACACCCCAAGUCUAAGUUGUCUAGAAUAUAAUCCUUGGAGUCUCGUAUUGAUAGUCGAUAAUUGAAAUUACAUUACUUCAGACUUUACAUAUCAUAAAUUUUAACUUGAAACACAAACAUGCCACUUGACUAACUCAUUAGUCCAUGAUUCACAAAAGAAAUUACAACUAAUGUACGAGAUAAUUAAGUUUCACAGUAAAUGGUUGAAAAAGCCUUUGCACAAAAUAACUUAAAGAGUAAUACAAAAGUUGGAUCAUAAAGAGUCUCCGCUCCAUUGAGUUUAACCCACGUCAUUCUUACCCUUUGAAACCUGCUUAUCUGAAAAAUAAAAUUUAAGCAGAAUGGGGUGAGAUUACAUCUAAGUGGAUUCCCUACUAAAAAAACCAAUAAUGACCUCCACCAAAGAAUCUCAUUUUUUACACCGAUCACAAUGACUCACACAAUGUAAGCAUGAUCCUACAUUUCCUUAAUCAUAUGAUUGUAUACUUUUCACCUUCGAUAAUCAUAAUCUUGUAUUAACACAUAUGCAAACAGCCAUAUUAUCGAGAGUGAGGAACUCAACAAUAUUCACCUAUUGGUGAGUGUUAACAUAAUUAAUCAUACUCACCGACUAUACAUCACUAACCAUUCAACUUGUAAAUAUGUGUUAACCAAGCACUCAGAUUACCCCACGUAAGCUUAAGGUUGAACACCAAGACGAAUGCAAUAUGUGUUUACAUAUCUAAUAAACAGUCACAACAAUAGUAAUCACAACUCUUCGAUGGAUUGGUUCUCACAUCUAAAGAGGGUCAAAUAUUAAGUAUCUCAAGAUUCACAAUUUCGAACAUUUUAAAUUUAUUUUAUGAGUAUCAUCAUCAUAAGAAUAUAUAUAUUAUAUAUAUUUAUUAUAUAUAUUAUAUAUAUAUAUAUAUAUUAUAUAUAUAUAUAUAUAUAUUAUAUAUAUAUAUAUAUAUAUUAUAAUAUAUUAUAUAUAUAUAUAUAUAUUAUAUAUAUUAUAAUAUAUAUUAUAUUAGACUUGUCUAUCUUACUAAAAAUUUGAUAUCAAUGCUAAAUAUCCCUACUAAUUUUACCAAUCUUACUAAUUGAUAAAAAUAAUAAUAUUUUAUGCCAACUGUCAAAUAUUAGAAUGAAUUACUAACUAAUUCAAUCAUACCAAUUCAAAGAUUUGAAUUCAAAUAACCACAAAACAUCCAUAAAACCAAACAAUUGUUACUACUAAUUUUCUCCAAAAUAGGACAGCAAAAACUAUCAUCUUAUAACUCAGUUUUCUCUAUCAAUAUUCAAUGGGUUUCAAAAAAACUAGUGCAUACUUUGAAGGUAAUUGAGGAAGUUUCUAUUGACACUAAAAUAAACUCAACCGGAGUUCCAUACCUACAAUUAUAGCAAAAACAUUACAGUACCCUCAAAACAACAUUUAAAUUGUUAGCUGAACUUGCAACAUGGUUUACUCAAUCAAAACCUAAUGAAAAUGAGUAUCCAUAGUAUAUCUUGUGUGUAUUUUUGUCUACUUAUCAUUCAUGUAAAAAUGAAGUUUAAAUGAUUUACGAGAAGUUAUGGGCAAAUUACCACAUGGUGUCAAAAGCAGGUCUGCAGAAUUUUCAGAAUAAUAAACAAUUUCCACUAACCCUAACUUCCUAUGAGAAAUCUAACUUCAUAAGUUACUACUAAAUCAUAUAACAAGAGAUUAAUUAUUAAUAGAAAUCACCUUGAAAAAAUCUGAUUCCUUUAAGCUUGAGUUCUUGAAGUUUACAUAAUCCUCUUAAAGCUCUUUCCUUUGAUUCAAAUCUCCCUACGACUUCACCUACAGUCCAAAAUAUGGACUAGAGAGUUCAAGAGACACAUGUAAAUAUUUAUUAUUGAAUUAGAAAUCAAUAGAAUCUUGUUCUUUCUAGGUGUUUGGAUUACCAUGAAAGCACCUCAUAAAGCUUGGUUUGGGGGAAGAAUGAAAAAUAGAUUUUGGUGGGUGAGGUAGAUAUUCUGUCGAUUAGAGAGAGGAAGGAGGAGUUCCGGAUUUUUGUCAAAAUAGCUAACAUAAUACCCAAGACAGAUUAC
rnacentral:lncRNA from 1 species